rnacentral:rRNA from 1 species
UACGUAGGAGGCGAGCGUUGUCCGGAUUUACUGGGCGUAAAGCGCGCGCAGGCGGCAGUGCAAGUAAGGUGUGAAAUCUCCCUGCUCAACGGGGAGGGUGCACUUUAGACUGCACAGCUCGAGGUCGGUAGAGGGGGGGGUGGAAUUGCUGGUGUAGCGGUGAAAUGCGUAGAGAUCAGCAGGAACACCCGUGGCGAAGGCGGCCCCCUGGGCCGUACCUGACGCUGAGGCGCGAAGGCUAGGGGAGCGAACGGGAUAGAAACCCUGGU